ensembl:lncRNA
UCUUCUUAUAAAGACGCUAGUCAUUGGGUUAGGGCCCACUGUAAUCCAGGAUGGCCUCAUUAAUUUGAUUACACCUGCAAAGACCCUAUUUACAAAUGAGGUCAUAUUCAGAGAUACUAGGAGUCAGAAAUUUAACAUAUCUUUUUGGGGAUACAAUUCAACAAUUUUAAUGCUUGCUGUAGCUUUAAAUGGAAGGGGUUUCAAAGUUCUUAGGAGUCCUUGUUUUUGUCUUCCCAGGUAUCUCUUGUUUUCUCUAAGACCUCCUCUUAAAUAGAAACUGACCCUUGCAGCUCUUUCAGCUGUUAUCCAUUGUUAAUACGCUUGAGCCCUGGUGAUGCAGUGGGAAGAAGUGGGAGAGGAAAAACCUUCUAUGAUAUUAUGAUUACGUUUUAGUGUUUUAGUAAGUCUUUGUCUCUGGACUGCAACCUUCACAAGUGUUUCUUCAUCCUCUCCUGUCUUAUACUUGAAAAAGGAAGACUAGAAGAAGCUGGAGCCUGGGACAUGCCUUUCCACCAGCUGAUAUAAGGCUCUUUUUGCCAGAAGGGCUUUGUUAUAAAGAACACUCCCAGCAUAUUUCAAAAUGGCUACUUUCCUCUUUUCCUGCCAGAGGGAUGAGAAUAAAAUUUUUCUCUUGAUCGCAGCUUCAGGUCAUGCCUAAGAGUUCCAGCUUGUCUUUCCUGAUGAUCUGCCCUAGAGAUCUCAGACUUGCGUAGACAGACCACACAAUUAUCUUAGCCAGACCCAGCCCUGCAGUUGCCUUGAAAACCAGCAGCCAGGAAGCCAGUGAAGAGAGAAUGGUGUUGGAGCCCCUUCAAAGCCCCAUCCCCAGAAAACUAUCAUUUUACAUGGUUGGUGUUUCCAUGGAAGAUUCUACUCACAAGGCUGUCUUUAUCCUGAAUCGGAGCUCUCCCAGUGCAAAAAGGCUUUCCCCUGGGGGUGUUGGCCCAAAAAAUGUAUGCAAUUGUUUAAAAAUCUGGAUUUCUGUAUUGUAGGAUAAUGGGUAGGGCCAAAAAUAGGCUUAACAAAGGAAAAGCUGGGAAUGAGAUGUACAUGAAACCUUGGAUUAACUAUGUCAUAUUCCUGAGAAUCUAGAAGGCUAUGCACGUGUGAAGGGCUAUGCACAGUCACAGAAAAGACCUCAUAGGCUCUCAGAGACUCUGUGCGAGCAGGAAAAGAAGGCUAGGAGGGAUCCUCAACUGCCUGAGUGUUGAAGGCGUGUCCCGACUCUCUCACAGAGCUCUCAGCAAAGACUGGGAGAUGCAUUGGUUCCAGACAUUUAAAAAAAACCUAUGUCCAAUCAUUCAUAGACCAAUGACCAAGCCUAUCAGUGACAUCAGUGGCCAUAAACAGCGACAUGAGGGGAAUAAUAGAGACAUCACAGAAUUUUUCAGAAAAGUAACUAAACAUGUAAACAACAAUGAACACCCCUGGGGAAGGAGGAGAACCUAUUUUCUAGAGCUUUGGCUUUAUUUUAAAUGUCCAGUUUAGAACAAUAGUAAAAAAAAAAUAUGAGAAUAAGAAGCAAGAAAACAUGGCUCAUGCACAGGAAAAAGGUCAUCAAUAGAAACUGUCAUUAAGGAAACCCAGACAAGGACUCACUAGAAACAAAGUUCAAAUCAGUUAUUAAAUACGUUAAAGAACUAAAGGCAAUAAUAAGUGAUAACUAAUGGAAAGAAUGAAUAUAAUAUCUCAUCAAAUAGAUAAUAUGAAUAAAGAGAGAGACAUUAUAAAAUAGAACCAAACAGAAAUUUUGGCAAAUACCAAGGAGAACAGUUGCUGGAUUGGUAUAUAAGAUUAUAUCCAGUUUUAUAGGAAACUGCCAAACCGUCUUCUAAAGUGGCU